rnacentral:misc_RNA from 1 species
GAUGAAGAACGCAGCGAAAUGCGAUAAGUAAUGUGAAUUGCAGAAUUCAGUGAAUCAUCGAAUCUUUGAACGCACAUUGCGCCCGCCAGCAUUCUGGCGGGCAUGCCUGUUCGAGCGUCAUUUCAACCCUCGAGCCCCCCCGGGGGCCUCGGUGUUGGGGGACGGCACCCAGCCGCCCCCGAAAUGCAGUGGCGACCCCGCCGCAGCCUCCCCUGCGUAGUAGCACACACCUCGCACCGGAGCGCGGAGGCGGUCACGCCGUAAAACGCCCAACUUUCUUAGAGUUGACCUCGGAUCAGGUAGGAAUACCCGCUGAACUUAAGCAUAUCAAUAAGCGGAGGA